GAUGAACGCUGGCGGCGUGCCUAAUACAUGCAAGUCGAGCGAACAGACGAGGAGCUUGCUCCUCUGACGUUAGCGGCGGACGGGUGAGUAACACGUGGAUAACCUACCUAUAAGACUGGGAUAACUUCGGGAAACCGGAGCUAAUACCGGAUAAUAUAUUGAACCGCAUGGUUCAAUAGUGAGAGACGGUUUUGCUGUCACUUAUAGAUGGAUCCGAGCCGCAUUAGCUAGUUGGUAAGGUAACGGCUUACCAAGGCGACGAUGCGUAGCCGACCUGAGAGGGUGAUCGGCCACACUGGAGCUGAGACACGGUCCAGACUCCUACGGGAGGCAGCAGUAGGGAAUCUUCCGCAAUGGGCGAAAGCCUGACGGAGCAACGCCGCGUGAGUGAUGAAGGUCUUCGGAUCGUAAAACUCUGUUAUUAGGGAAGAACAAAUGUGUAAGUAACUAUGCACGUCUUGACGGUACCUAAUCAGAAAGCCACGGCUAACUACGUG
rnacentral:rRNA from 1 species